rnacentral:rRNA from 1 species
GAUGAACGCUGGCGGCGUGCCUAAUACAUGCAAGUCGAGCGAACGGACGAGAAGCUUGCUUUUCUGAUGUUAGCGGCGGACGGGUGAGUAACACGUGGAUAACCUACCUAUAAGACUGGGAUAACUUCGGGAAACCGGAGCUAAUACCGGAUAAUAUUUUGAACCGCAUGGUUCAAAAGUGAAAGACGGUCUUGCUGUCACUUAUAGAUGGAUCCGCGCUGUAUUAGCUAGUUGGUAAGGUAACGGCUUACCAAGGCAACGAUGCAUAGCCGACCUGAGAGGGUGAUCGGCCACACUGGAACUGAGACACGGUCCAGACUCCUACGGGAGGCAGCAGUAGGGAAUCUUCCGCAAUGGGCGAAAGCCUGACGGAGCAACGCCGCGUGAGUGAUGAAGGUCUUCGGAUCGUAAAACUCUGUUAUUAGGGAAGAACAUAUGUGUAAGUAACCGUGCACAUCUUGACGGUACCUAAUCAGAAAGCCACGGCUAACUACGUG